rnacentral:lncRNA from 1 species
CCCAGCUCCUGCCUCUGUGAGUCACCCCCCCAAGUGCUCUGCCUGCAGCCACUUGCCCUGGCAGGAAGACCCUUGGGCAGGCCCCACCAUGGCUCCACUCUGGAAUGCUGGGCACUUUGCCCCACUACGCUCUACAAAGGCAUCCCUUCCUUCUGGGCAGGUGUUCCAUCUCUGCAGAUAUAAAACACAGAGGGGCCCAGAUCUCAGGCCAGCCUGAACUGAGCUUCUCUGCAGGAUGAUCUCCUCACCAGAACCCCUGGACAGGAGGGUCUGCCAGAUCCCAGGAAGGAGAUGUGUGAAGCCAGCCUUGGUGACACUCCUGGGCCCCAUCCAGUCAGUUAUGAAAAGUCUCUGCUGCUAAACUCAUCUGCCUCAGCCUGUCUCUGGCCUGUCUUCUUUCUUUCUGCAUUUCUUCCUUUUAAAAAAGUUUAUUGCUCUUUUCUAAUGUUAAAAGUAACACAUACUGAUUGCAGAAAAUCCAGAAAAGCACAAAGAAAAAAAUUAAAAUCACUCGUAAUGUCAACAUGCAGUGACAUCUACUGAUGUUUGAGUGUGUGUCCAUAUAGUCUUUUUGUAAGGUCCUGGACAGAGCAAGCAAGCAGUCUUUUUUGAUAUCCACAGAAUAACUUGCUAGGGUCUUGAUUGGAAUGGCAUCGGGUCUAUAAAGACUGACAUCUUGAUGAUAUUGAAUCUUCCUAUCCAUGAACAUGGGAUAUCUCUCUAUUUAUUUAGUUCUUUGAUUUUCCAGUCUUUUUUCUAUGUCUGAAUUUUGUUGACUGAAAACACCCUCUAAGUAGGUUUCAGUCCUGCUUUCUCCCUUAAUGUUAUGUCAUGUUAAGCCUCUCUCUAAGCAGAGAUGUUAAUUACUGCCUCAUUUUCCAAUAUGUGGAGACACAGAAAUGUGCCUAACCAUUCACCAUUAUUGUACUUCUAGGUUGUUUUCAGGUUUGUCACUAACUAUAAAAACAAUAAUAAAAUCAUGCUUGACUUUUGUUCAUUAAAA